ACUCCUGCGGGAGGCAGCAGUGGGGAAUUUUGGACAAUGGGCGAAAGCCUGAUCCAGCAAUGCCGCGUGUGUGAAGAAGGCCUUCGGGUUGUAAAGCACUUUUGUCCGGAAAGAAAUCCUUGGCUCUAAUACAGUCGGGGGAUGACGGUACCGGAAGAAUAAGCACCGGCUAACUACGUGCCAGCAGCCGCGGUAAUACGUAGGGUGCGAGCGUUAAUCGGAAUUACUGGGCGUAAAGCGUGCGCAGGCGGUUUGCUAAGACCGAUGUGAAAUCCCCGGGCUCAACCUGGGAACUGCAUUGGUGACUGGCAGGCUAGAGUAUGGCAGAGGGGGGUAGAAUUCCACGUGUAGCAGUGAAAUGCGUAGAGAUGUGGAGGAAUACCGAUGGCGAAGGCAGCCCCCUGGGCCAAUACUGACGCUCAUGCACGAAAGCGUGGGGAGCAAACAGGAUUAGAAACCCUAGUAGUCCCA
rnacentral:rRNA from 1 species